rnacentral:rRNA from 1 species
UACAGAGGUGGCAAGCGUUGUUCGGAAUUACUGGGCGUAAAGGGCGCGUAGGCGGUUUCGUAAGUCCCGCGUGAAAGCCCCCGGCUCAACUGGGGAAUGGCACGGGAAACUGCGAGGCUUGAGUUCGGGAGAGGGAAGCGGAAUUCCGGGUGUAGCGGUGAAAUGCGUAGAUAUCCGGAGGAACACCGGUGGCGAAGGCGGCUUCCUGGACCGAUACUGACGCUGAGGCGCGAAAGCUAGGGGAGCAAACGGG